rnacentral:tRNA from 1 species
GCUGCUGUAGCUCAGUUGGUAGAGCACGUCCUUGGUAAGGACGGGGUCAUCGGUUCGAGUCCGAUCAGCAGCU